rnacentral:rRNA from 1 species
CAGCAGCCGCGGGAAUACGAAGGGUGCAAGCGUUAUUCGGAUUGAUUGGGUGUAAAGGGUGUGCAGACGGCUUAUUAAGUCACUAGUUAAAUUCUUCGGCCUAACUGAAGGUCUGCAAGUGAUACUGAUGAGCUAGAGGGUGGAAGAGAGAAGUGGAAUUCUCGGAGUAGCGGUAAAAUGCGUAGAUCUCGAGAGGAACACCAAUGGCGAAGGCAGCUUCUUGGUCCAUUCCUGACGUUCAUACACGAAAGCGUGGGGAGCAAACAGGAUUAGAUACCCCGGUAGUCCCUGUCUCUUAUAC